GUGAGCUGGCCUGUCACUCCCAGACUUGUGGCAAAUUGUUUUCUAGCACCUGGGAGAAGUUGUUGUGUCCAGAUUUGUACCUGUAUGCAUGAGGACAGAACCCAGGGAAAAUUUGACUCAUCUGGUGAACAGUCUCCCCAUUAAAAUACUGAUUUCCCCUCCCCUUCCCUUAGUUAAAGCGAUACAUUUCUAGUCUGAUUUGCAUUCAAUAGCCCUUUGCUGUCAUAUCUCAGCAGUCAUGAAGCACAAGCCUUUGAAUCGUUAGCUGUGAAACUUGCUUGACUCCAUUCACAUAAAAAAAAUCCAAAUCAAAUUAACACCCACUAGCAAAGCAAUUUUACCUAAAAAUGAUCUGGUACAUAAAACUACAAUUAACCACGUUGGUACUGAAAUGACUGUGUGCACUAAAACAGUGUACAAUAACACACACAGCUUCCACUGUUGAGUUCUCUAGAGCUGGUUAGCUCAUGUGGACCCCCUUGCCUUCUUCUGGAAGAAAUCUGAACUACUUAACUAUGUGUCAUAUGCUCUAUAGUACUAAAACCUAACUGAGAUUCUCCAUUAAUUCAGCUGGCAGGAGCCUGUGGUUCUGAAGCAGGAGAAGGGGGUGCUAUAUCUCAUGCUGCCAGGAACUUCCAAGUAUCCCUGGCAUGCAGCGGGUGACAUGCAUGAAGUUCUUAUGUGGCUACAGAUGGGUGAGAGUAUACGGAUUAAUAAUCUACAACAGGAAAGCAAAACAACAUUCAGAUCUCCUAUACUGUUGUGUUCUGAAUGAUUAGGAUGGUUUUGGAAGUGGGAUUUGGAAAGAACGUGCACUAUUGCAAUUUUCAGACAUCCAUCGAGCUCAGGAAGGACCUGGGUCGGUCGCAAGAGAUGGAGAGAGAAAACUAAUGUUUCCCUGGACACCCAUAGUUGUAACUCGUCAAUUUCAGCCUGGGGAGAUGCACAACGUGAACUGGGCAUUGAUGCAGGUCAAUGGACACAGAGUGCAGGGAAUGUGAUAUGCAUUUGCUUCCAUCACCUUCCAAAUGCUGCCCUCCUCCUAGCAGAGAGCAACCAGGGCUCUUUCAGUUGGCUGAAGAAUGGUGAGUCACGUUGAAAUCUGAAGGGUUGCACCUUUCAUUCAAAUAACAUCAGGCACAUUUAUUUAUUUUUAUUUGUAUUGGAACAGACUUCAGGAGCCAAAGGAUGGCUCAGGGGUCAGAGUGCUGGCAUGGGACUUGGUACAGCAUCACUAGUGUCCCUUUUCUGCCUCACCCUUCCUGAUCAAAAGUAUUUAGGUGCCUGUUUAUUCCCUCUGAAGCAUCUGGCAUUGGCCACUGUCGGAAGACAGGAUCUUGGGCUAGAUGGACCAUUGCUCUGACCCAGUGUGGCUGUUCUUAUGUUUCUUAACUCCUAUUGAUUUCAAUGGGAUCAGGGCCUUUUUCUUUCUAUGCCUUAUUUCUGUAACACGGGGCUUCCAGCACUUCUCAAGGGUGUUGUGAGGAUAACUAUAUUAAAGAAUUUGUGAAGUGCUCAGAUACUAUGGGAAUGGAGGCUAUGAUUGUACCUAAGGGUAUGUCUACACUAGUUAGUUAGUUAGUAUGCGUUGAGGUUGUGCAAACACAGAGUGGGAAUAUAAUCCUGGCCCUGAAGACCUGACUGCCUGAUUCAAACCU
ensembl:lncRNA